CCUAGGCUAGGUGUGGCAACGUAGACAUGACUUGGAUGUAUUCUCUUCUUAUUCAUUGGGGAGAGUGCCCGUGACAUGAAGGUGAUCAUUGUAACCAUUUUUGAGGGAGCCCUUCACACAGGUGAAACUUUAUUCUGAGAAGGGUCUGUGGCAGGCGCUGGUCAUGCACACCUGGGCUGCGGCUUUCCAAGGGGCCAUUGAGCGUGGAAGUUUUGUGGUGACAUCAGUGUCUUUGCAGAUUGCUUCCUGGGUGCUUGUGCCAAUGGUAUUUUUAAACUGAGGUAGCAGUUGAAAAUAAUAUUCAAAAUUUUGGAUAAAGACGAUGGUUGAACAACACUCAAUGUACCAAAAAAAAUGACUGAAUGAAAUAGAUGAAUUGUACGGUUGUCCUGCCUUACAGGAAUUUAUGGAAGCAGCUAUCAGUGGGCUCUGAAAUGAUGAGCCAAA